UACGUAGGGGGCUAGCGUUGUCCGGAAUCAUUGGGCGUAAAGAGCGUGUAGGCGGCCAGGUAGGUCCGUUGUGAAAACUCGAGGCUCAACCUCGAGACGUCGAUGGAAACCAUCUGGCUAGAGUCCGGAAGAGGAGAGUGGAAUUCCUGGUGUAGCGGUGAAAUGCGCAGAUAUCAGGAAGAACACCUAUGGCGAAGGCAGCUCUCUGGGACGGUACUGACGCUGAGACGCGAAAGCGUGGGGAGCGAACAGG
rnacentral:rRNA from 1 species